CAACUACUCCCUCUGUCCCAAAUUUCUUGUCUUAGAUUUGUCUAGAUACGGAUGUAUCUAAUACUAAAAUGUGACUUGAUACAUCCGUAUCUAGACAACUCUAAGACAAGAAUUUUGGGACGGAGGGAGUACUUU
rnacentral:pre_miRNA from 1 species